UACGAAGGGGGCUAGCGUUGCUCGGAAUCACUGGGCGUAAAGGGCGCGUAGGCGGAUCUUUAAGUCGGGGGUGAAAGCCUGAGGCUCAACCUCAGAAUUGCCUUCGAUACUGGAGAUCUUGAGACCGGAAGAGGUAAGUGGAACUGCGAGUGUAGAGGUGAAAUUCGUAGAUAUUCGCAAGAACACCAGUGGCGAAGGCGGCUUACUGGUCCGGUUCUGACGCUGAGGCGCGAAAGCCAGGGGAGCAAACGGG
rnacentral:rRNA from 1 species